rnacentral:rRNA from 1 species
GUUGGCAUAAGGGCGAAUGGUGGAUGCCUAGACAUCAAAAGGCGACGAAGGACGCGGCGUAGCGGCGAUACGCUUCGGGGAGGUGCGUAGCAACCUGUGAUCCGGAGAUUUCCGAAUGGGGAAACCCAAUCGUGCAACCCACGAUUAUCCCGCAGCAAUGCGGGAUGCGAACCCGCUGAAGUGAAACAUCUCAGUAAGCGGAGGAACAAAGAACAAUCGUAUAUUCCCUAAGUAGCGGCGAGCGAAACGGGAAGAGCCGAAACUAAGGAAUAUUCUUCUCACAGAAGAAUGUUCCUCAGGGUAAUAAGAAAGAAACGCUCUUUUACACAUCGCAAAGCUCUUCAUAAAGAGCUCUGCGAUUUGUGGGAGGUGGAGGAGUUACAAAAUCCGAGCACAUAAUGAAAAUUAUAUGCUCGGCCGAGCAUAAAAUUCAUUUUGUGCUUUGGCUUUACUUAGCCGAACCCGUCUGGAAAGCGGGACCAAAGACGGUGAUAGUCCGGUAGGCGAAAAGUAAGGGUCUUCUUAGUUUUUUCCCCGCCUCGGCGGGGGUCCCGACUGCAUUGUCUGUAGCAAUACGAACGGUGCGUCAGGAUUCUUCAGUACUCCGAGGUCAAGCAGCUUCGGAGGAAUUCGCGAGUACUAUCUUGCAAGGCUAAAUACUUUUGAUGAUCGAUAGUGAACAAGUACCGUGAGGGAAAGGUGAAAAGCAGGCCGGUGAGGCCGUUGAAAUAGAACCUGAAACCAUUUGCCUACAAGGAACCGGGGGCCGAACGAUCUGCCGCAAGGCGGGACGAGGCUGACGGUGUGCCUAUUGAAGAAUGAGCCAACGACUUAUGGUGUGUUGCUGGUCUAAGCCCCAUUGGGGCGAAGGCACAGGGAAACCGAGUCUGAAUAGGGCGUGCAUUCUUCAAAGAUCUCCGUCCGAGCGAUCGGGCGGAAGUCUUUGAGAUUGCAGGCAGUACAUCAUAGACCCGAAGCCAGAUGAGCUUGCCUUGGCCAGGGUGAAAGCCGAUGAAAAUCGGCUGGAGGCCCGAACUGGUAGGUUGUUCAAAACCUUCGGAUGAGCUGAGGUAAGGAGUGAAAAGCUAAUCGAAUCUGGUAAUAGCUGGUUCUCUCCGAAAUAGUUUUAGGACUAGCGGCGCAAAGUAGCGCGUGGGGGUAGAGCACUGGAUGAUUGGUAAAGGCCGAAAGGCCGACCAAUCAAUCAAACUCCGAAUACCGCGCGUGUAAUUGCGCUAGUUAGACUGUGGGGGCUAAGCUCCAUGGUCAAAAGGGAAACAGCCCAAACCAUCAUCUAAGGUCCCUAAAUUUACGCUAAGUGUAAAAGGCAGUGUCGCGCCAUUGACAGAUAGGAGGUUGGCUUAGAGGUAGCCAUCCUUUAAAGAGUGUGUAACAACUCACUAUUCGAUCGGCCCGGCGCGCCGAAAAUGUACCGGGGCUCAAGCGUGAUACCGACGAUAUGGUCCCCCACCUUCUUCUUGUGCAGGAACAAUGUUUUUGAUGUGGUAGUAGAUACCACCGGGUCUUUGUUCGUGUAUAGUAAGAAGGUGGGGGAGGUAGGAGAGCAUUCGUAUUCCACCGAAGCCCCAGCCGCGAGGCGGGGUGGAGGAAUGCGAAGAGAGAAUGUUGGCAUGAGUAACCACAAUCCCAAUGAGAAAUUGGAACCCCGAAAAUCCAAGGUUUCCGAGGCACUGGCAAUCAACCUCGGGUUAGGCGGUCCUAAGGCGAUGGCGAAAGCCGCAGCUGAUGGGUAGCCGGUCAAUAUUCCGGCCCGCCGGACGGUGUGCGAUGGAGUGACAACGCGUAGUAGGUCAGGUGCCUUAUUGGUUUGGCAUCUUGGGCGUAAGGAGGCGAUCCUGGCAAAUCCGGGUCGAACCGCUUCAAUGCGGACCCUCCAAGCGUCACGGCCAGGUACGGUUUUUACCGUGCCAAGCUGGUUGAGCACGCGUUCGAGAAAAACUUCUAAGUUUAGCUGUCCGGCUCCGUACCGGAAACCGACACAGGUGGAUAGGGCGAGUAGCCCAAGGGGAACGAGUGAUUCAUCGUUAAGGAACUCGGCAAAAAAGCGGCCGUACCUUCGGUAUAAGGCCUUCCCCCACCGCUUUUGCUCGUCACGUUUUAACAAGGAGAAAGAAGUUUGCGCAGAGCAAACUCUGCUUUCCUUCCUGGGACGUCAUAAGCAAAAGUGGUGGGGGACGCAGCGAAAGUCUCCCUGGCGACUGUUUACCAAAAACACAGCUCCCUGCGAACUCGCAAGAGGAUGUAUAGGGGGUGACGCCUGACCGAUGCGAGAAGGUUAAACUUGGCAGUGCUCUGUAGCAAUAUGGAGUGCCGACCGAGCGAAGCCCUCGUCAAUGUCAGCGAUAACUAUAAUCGUUCUAAGGUGAACGCGUUGCCUUAGUAAAAUUCGGGUCCGCCGCCCGUAAGGGUGCGGACUCCCGGCUUCUCUGGUUUUGGAGUAUAAAUUGGAGCGUCGGGACUGUAUGCUGGAACAUCUGUUGUAUCCGAGGCUACUAUGGUAUAAUACGUCCAUAGGCGUAUAUGCCCAGUAACAAUGCAUUCGGUGCAGACAAUCAGCAGGAAAGACUAGAGUUGGCUUACUGGAUCACUGGCUUCACAGACGGCGAAGGAUGUUUCUCUAUCGCGGUUAUUAAGAACGCCACGACUCGUUUUGGAAAGCAGAUUUUUCCGGAAUUCGUGGUGACGCAAGGCGCGAAAAGCUUAGAAGCACUUGAGGAGAUCAAAAAAUUCUUCGGGUGCGGUAAGAUUUUCGUGAAUAAGCGUUACGAUAACCACCAUGAGCACCUUUACCGUUACUGCGUGCGAUCUAUUCCUGAUUUACAGUAUAAAAUCGUCCCGUUUUUCGAGCGGUUUGCACUGCACACCUACAAACAGAAUGACUUCGUCAUUUUUAAGAAGGUGGUGACGAUGAUGUCCCGCAAGGCGCAUCUUACGGAAAAGGGAUGGAUGAGAAUUACGCAAUUGAUAAGCCAGAUGAACAGAAAGAAAAAGCGAUUCUAGUAUCCUCAGAGACUAUACGCCGAACCCCGCCGAUGCGGGGAAGAUAUAGUCCGAACUGCAUAGCGAUAUGCAGAGUUGUCCCGCCGCUGGCGGGGCAGAGUAACACAUGUGAGCGCAAUUCCUUUCCGGGUAAGUUCCGGAGCGCACGAAAGGCGUAACGACUGGGGAACUGUCUCAACGAUGAGCUCGGUGAAAAUGCGAUUCCCGUGAAGACGCGGGAUACCUGCAGCGGGACGAAAAGACCCCGGAAGCUUUACUGCAGCCUGGUAUUGAUUUCAGGAUGUUCAUGCGUAGCGUAGUGGUGAGGAUUUGAAGUCCCGAUUUCGGUCGGGAUGGAUCCGACAAUGAAACAGCCAUCUUGAACGUUUUGACGUCUAACCGGUUGGGGACCGCGCACUUUCUGGAAUUAUCAUUGUAGAAAGUGUGCGGAAACCUGAUCGAGACAGUGCUUGGUAGGCAGUUUAAAUGGGGCGUUUUCCUCCUAAAGAGUAACGGAGGAGUUUAUUAAGGUCGGCUUAGCCCGGAUGGAAACCGGGCCAGACGUGUAAAGGCAUAAGCCGGCUUGACUGCGAGACCUACAAGUCGAGCAGGUGCGAAAGCAGAACUUAGUGACCCGACUGCCCUUCAUAGAAAGGCAGGAGACACCGGAUAAAAGCUACUCCGGGGAUAAACCCUGAAAUAAGGGUUGGUUGUCCUCUCCGCCAGCAAUGGCGGAGUAACAAAUACGGCUUAUAACGGUGAAGCGGAGACUGGUCUUUCCUGGCAACAGGUUUUAAAGUCUCCGUAAUACCGUGGGAAGUCGACAGGUAAUUAGGUAUAGUCUAGAAGUAUGAAGAUUAAUCGGGAGCAAGAAUCGGCGCUGGUUGGAAUGAUUUUGGGAGAUGCGUACCUCCAAAAAACAGGAGCUCACAAUGCGCGGCUGCGAUUGGAACAUCGGGCCGAGCAUCGUGAGUACCUCGUCUGGAAGACGCGGUUCAUUCCCGGAUUGUUCCAGGGCAAGCCGACUCUGCUCAAGAGAGUCCACCCGAAGACACACAGAACGUACUCCUACGUACGGCAACAAUCAAAUGCCUCGCCGUACAUAGGAAAACUGCGUGAACUGUUCUAUCCGGGCGGCACGAAAAAAAUUCCUGAAACAUUGAACCAGUGGUUAGUGUCCGACGUCGGCUUUGCGAUUUGGUUCUACGACGACGGAUACCAUUACGUUCGCGACCGUUCCUUGUAUCUAUAUCUUGGAACUGUUUCGCGCCGGGAAGCAAUCACUGCCGGCGCUGUGCUUCAGAAACGAUUUAAUCUUCGGACCACUAUUGCCGAUAAAGGCAAGAAGGGGUUCGCGCUGUAUUUUCCGGCAAGCGAGCGGGAUAAGGUUCGGAACAUACUCGCGACGUAUCGUGUGCCGGUUAUGGCAUAUAAAAUACCUGGUUAAUCUGUUUGACCCCGUAACGACUUGCUACUGUACGUAGCGGAGUUGUCCGUCUGAGACGGGCAGCUAAUACGCCGUCCCCCGACCACGGUCGGGGUGAAGAUAUAGUCUAGUGCAUUAAUGCAUUGAACAGGCUGGUGAAGUCCGAGAGUCCCUAUCGACGACUUCGCUCGGCACCUCGAUGUCGGCUCGCCCUAGCGCGGGGGUGUAGAAGCUCCCAAGCGUUUGGCUGUUCGCCAAUUAAAAGGGCACGUGAGCUGGGUAAGUGUAGAACACUUCAAACAUGAGCCCAGCGAUCCUUCGCACGAGGCGGUAGAAAUACCGAAUGAAGAAGGAAAAUAAAUUGACUCAUAACGGUGAAGUCCGAAUGCUCGAUUGAUGAUACAAUUGAGUAAUGGAUGAUACCGUGGGAAGUUUUACCUCUGUCAUUGAUUAGUAGUAUGAUUCCAAAAUGUCUUGGCUAAAGACAAAUUGGUUCAAACUUGCAUUGGUCAUUUUGGUUGGCGCGUUUGUGAUAGCGUACAUUUUUUAUGUACGCGAGCAGGCGAGGCCAAAAUCUUUUAAGGGCCAACUUUGGCAAGAAAUACAAAACCGACAGUAGAGGUAGUAACCCCGUAACGACUUGUCCCGCUAAGCGGGACAGAGUGAGGCGAUAGGAAGUUUAUCGUUUCGCUAACACGUCAGUCCCGAUACGAACGGAACGGUCGGGAAAGGUAUAGUCUAAUGCCGCUAGUAAUAGCGGAAGAAACAUUGUCAGACCGUCGUAAGACAGGUCGGUCUCUAUCUGUUGCAGGCGUAAGCGCUUGAGGGGAGUUGACCCUAGUAAACAACAUUGCUACUUCACGCAGUAAUGCGUGAUGACAAUUCGGCUAAUAACGGUGGAAUCUUAAGGCGGGGCGGUCCGUUGAUAGCCAUGGUCGUUUUCAGUCCUUACGACUAUGGUACAAUUAACUUGAGGACCGGCUUGGUCUUAAGACAAUAUCGUGGGAAGUCGAUCUAAAACUGACCUAGCAUACAUUGCUGGUUUUCUGGACGGCGAUGGCAGCUUGAUGAUUCAGAUCAAAAGAAGAUCCGAAUCGAAGCGCGGCACAACGCGCUUUAUGCUCACCAUCUGCUUCUACCAAGAUUCGCGGCACGAGAAACCGCUGUUCUGGAUUCGAGAUAGGCUUGGCAUAGGCUAUAUCUCGCGUCGGAACGACGGCAUGACGGAAUUGCGGAUCAAUGGAUACAAGCAGGUGCAGGGCAUCCUGAUUAAGCUUUUGCCAUUUCUGAAAUUCAAGAAAAAACAAGCAGGGUAUAUUCUUGCUGCCGCCAAGCUGCUUCAGGCUGAGCGGAGCGAGAAAGUAGCUAGAAAAAUAGUAAACGCCAUCCUCUUGGUUCAGGCGGAAAACUAUGUGACCCGCAAGAAAAGGACCAGAGGAGAGUUGCUAAAAGCUUUAGAUUUGACCCCGUAACGACUUGUCUCCGAUUUCGGUCGGAGCAGAGUCCUGCCUCGGCAGGACUAAUACGCCGACACCCGCCCUCCUCGUGGAGGGGGUGAAGAUAUAGUCUAAGCACGUAGCGAUACGUGACCAACUUGACGAGAGGACUGGGUUGAACGAACCGCUGGUCUACCGGCUUUGGUACCAACUGAACCGCCGGGUAGCUAUGUUCGGACGGGAUAAGUGCUGAAAGCAUCUAAGCACGAAGCCCACCCCAAGAUGAGGCGCAAUGGUCUCGUCGGAGACUACGACGUUGAUAGGCGCUCGGUGUAAGGUCCGCAAGGAUUUUAGCCAAGGCGUAC